rfam:Enterococcus mundtii QT 25 DNA, complete genome.
ACUCGUUGCAAGUUCCCGAGAGGAUCCGUACGAACGGAGAUGCCUUGUAACCGAAUUUAACUAGGGGGAAUCAUAAUUAUG